rnacentral:lncRNA from 1 species
CUGCAUGCUGGCUCUUGAUUGAGUACAAACGACGCCACUCACUCAUUUCCAGCUGCUAUUUUUUCCCCUUCUUAAUCGAGACCAGCAUCUGCUCUUCUCCAAUUCUCGCGGCAAAGCAUGCAUGGUCUUAAUUUAUAGGCCUUUAUAUACAGUUAAUGAGAAAAAAAAUGCCAUCUUCCACUUACGAAUUAGCUAGUUCAAUUUUCCUAAAAAAAAGCUAGUUCAAACAAAAAAGAACUACAUUUACCUUUUUUGCAAAUAAAUGAUAUUUCAUAAAACAUAACAUUUUCUUUCUACAAACAAAAUCUUUUUUCUCUGAAUCAAUAUACAAAUAGUCAUCCAACGUUGUCGACGAGUACGUUGUCUACACUAAAAAAACAUAUUUAAAUCUAGAACUUGAACCUAAAUGGAUAAGAUUACCACAAGCAACCCAACCAGCUAAGUUACGCUAUAUGUACUUGGUUCUUCGAGUGGAACAGAAUUACCCAAGGAAUUUAAUUUGAUCAUAUGCAUGUCACUAGGUUUUCUUGUUCGCUUAAUUGGUGGUUAAUACAUAGAACAAAAAAUGAACUCUCAGAAGCUAGGCAAUUUAUACUACUACAAUAAUUAGAGACGAGUGUUUUGGAUUUUAGGAGGCAGAUAAACAAAAUACCUCCGAUCAAAGGUCGUAGUAAAUCAGGCAUUAACCGAAGAGGUUUCCAUAACCGCCUCAGUUAAUCAAAUAAAAAAAUAAAAAGAAAAAGCCUGUAUCCAGCCUUAAUUGGGCUGGGCUUGGAUUUGGGCUUGGCUAUGCCUCCCUUGCGUGCUGCCGCCGCCACCACUGGGGAGUAGGCCCCGCCCCGCUGCUCACCUAGCCCGCCGCCCCACCGGAUCUACGAGAAGAGAGGCAGGAGGAGGAUCCAUGGAAAUUGUAGCUUGUCUAACUAGAAAAGACUGCUCAAGGAGGAGCUUGGCCUGGUGUGCAUCAAGGCUAAGCUUGAGAAGAGGGCACAACUUUCAAUGUGGCAAGACAGUUACUCUUAGUGUCUCCCUUUUGUUUUUGGGCCUAUUUGCCUUAUAUCAUUUGUUGUUGUUGUUGUUGUAUCUCUCUUCUCCCUCUCCCUCUUGCUCCUCCCCUCCCUAUACAUUUGUAUCAUUUUUGUUUCCCCUUUAUAUCAAUGAAAAUGAAAAAAAUAGGUGGGGGCUCCUCUGCUGACUUUUAAAAAAAUCUUGGUAAUUCAAUUUGAUCUAUGAUGCCA